GUUAUAUGGUCAAGUGAAGAAGCGCAUACGGUGGAUGCUUGGCAGUCAGAGGCGAUGAAAGACGUGGUAGCCUGCGAAAAGCUUCGGGGAGUCGGCAAACAGACUUUGAUCCGGAGAUCUCUGAAUGGGGGAACCCACCUAGGAUAACCUAGGUAUCUUGUACUGAAUCCAUAGGUGCAAGAGGCGAACCAGGGGAACUGAAACAUCUAAGUACCCUGAGGAAAAGAAAUCAACCGAGAUUCCCUUAGUAGUGGCGAGCGAACGGGGAUUAGCCCUUAAGCUUCAUUGAUUUUAGCGGAACGCUCUGGAAAGUGCGGCCAUAGUGGGUGAUAGCCCCGUACGCGAAAGGAUCUUUGAAGUGAAAUCGAGUAGGACGGAGCACGAGAAACUUUGUCUGAACAUGGGGGGACCAUCCUCCAAGGCUAAAUACUACUGACUGACCGAUAGUGAACCAGUACCGUGAGGGAAAGGCGAAAAGAACCCCGGAGAGGGGAGUGAAAUAGAACCUGAAACCGUAUGCGUACAAGCAGUGGGAGCCUACUUGUUAGGUGACUGCGUACCUUUUGUAUAAUGGGUCAGCGACUUAUAUUCAGUGGCAAGCUUAACCGUAUAGGGUAGGCGUAGCGAAAGCGAGUCUUAAUAGGGCGUUUAGUCGCUGGGUAUAGACCCGAAACCGGGCGAUCUAUCCAUGAGCAGGUUGAAGGUUAGGUAACACUGACUGGAGGACCGAACCCACUCCCGUUGAAAAGGUAGGGGAUGACUUGUGGAUCGGAGUGAAAGGCUAAUCAAGCUCGGAGAUAGCUGGUUCUCCUCGAAAGCUAUUUAGGUAGCGCCUCAUGUAUCACUCUGGGGGGUAGAGCACUGUUUCGGCUAGGGGGUCAUCCCGACUUACCAAACCGAUGCAAACUCCGAAUACCCAGAAGUGCCGAGCAUGGGAGACACACGGCGGGUGCUAACGUCCGUCGUGAAAAGGGAAACAACCCAGACCGCCAGCUAAGGUCCCAAAGUUGUGGUUAAGUGGUAAACGAUGUGGGAAGGCUUAGACAGCUAGGAGGUUGGCUUAGAAGCAGCCAUCCUUUAAAGAAAGCGUAAUAGCUCACUAGUCGAGUCGGCCUGCGCGGAAGAUGUAACGGGGCUCAAACCACACACCGAAGCUGCGGGUGUCACGUAAGUGACGCGGUAGAGGAGCGUUCUGUAAGCCUGUGAAGGUGAGUUGAGAAGCUUGCUGGAGGUAUCAGAAGUGCGAAUGCUGACAUGAGUAACGACAAUGGGUGUGAAAAACACCCACGCCGAAAGACCAAGGGUUCCUGCGCAACGUUAAUCGACGCAGGGUUAGUCGGUUCCUAAGGCGAGGCUGAAAAGCGUAGUCGAUGGGAAACAGGUUAAUAUUCCUGUACUUCUGGUUACUGCGAUGGAGGGACGGAGAAGGCUAGGCCAGCUUGGCGUUGGUUGUCCAAGUUUAAGGUGGUAGGCUGAAAUCUUAGGUAAAUCCGGGGUUUCAAGGCCGAGAGCUGAUGACGAGUCGUCUUUUAGAUGACGAAGUGGUUGAUGCCAUGCUUCCAAGAAAAGCUUCUAAGCUUCAGGUAACCAGGAACCGUACCCCAAACCGACACAGGUGGUCGGGUAGAGAAUACCAAGGCGCUUGAGAGAACUCGGGUGAAGGAACUAGGCAAAAUGGCACCGUAACUUCGGGAGAAGGUGCGCCGGCUAGGGUGAAGGAUUUACUCCGUAAGCUCUGGCUGGUCGAAGAUACCAGGCCGCUGCGACUGUUUAUUAAAAACACAGCACUCUGCAAACACGAAAGUGGACGUAUAGGGUGUGACGCCUGCCCGGUGCCGGAAGGUUAAUUGAUGGGGUUAGCGCAAGCGAAGCUCUUGAUCGAAGCCCCGGUAAACGGCGGCCGUAACUAUAACGGUCCUAAGGUAGCGAAAUUCCUUGUCGGGUAAGUUCCGACCUGCACGAAUGGCGUAACGAUGGCGGCGCUGUCUCCACCCGAGACUCAGUGAAAUUGAAAUCGCUGUGAAGAUGCAGUGUAUCCGCGGCUAGACGGAAAGACCCCGUGAACCUUUACUGUAGCUUUGCACUGGACUUUGAGCCUGCUUGUGUAGGAUAGGUGGGAGGCUUUGAAGCGUGGACGCCAGUUCGCGUGGAGCCAUCCUUGAAAUACCACCCUGGCAUGCUUGAGGUUCUAACUCUGGUCCGUGAUCCGGAUCGAGGACAGUGUAUGGUGGGCAGUUUGACUGGGGCGGUCUCCUCCUAAAGAGUAACGGAGGAGUACGAAGGUGCGCUCAGACCGGUCGGAAAUCGGUCGCAGAGUAUAAAGGCAAAAGCGCGCUUGACUGCGAGACAGACACGUCGAGCAGGUACGAAAGUAGGUCUUAGUGAUCCGGUGGUUCUGUAUGGAAGGGCCAUCGCUCAACGGAUAAAAGGUACUCCGGGGAUAACAGGCUGAUACCGCCCAAGAGUUCAUAUCGACGGCGGUGUUUGGCACCUCGAUGUCGGCUCAUCACAUCCUGGGGCUGAAGCCGGUCCCAAGGGUAUGGCUGUUCGCCAUUUAAAGUGGUACGCGAGCUGGGUUUAGAACGUCGUGAGACAGUUCGGUCCCUAUCUGCCGUGGACGUUUGAGAUUUGAGAGGGGCUGCUCCUAGUACGAGAGGACCGGAGUGGACGAACCUCUGGUGUUCCGGUUGUCACGCCAGUGGCAUUGCCGGGUAGCUAUGUUCGGAAAAGAUAACCGCUGAAAGCAUCUAAGCGGGAAACUUGCCUCAAGAUGAGAUCUCACUGGGAACUUGAUUCCCCUGAAGGGCCGUCGAAGACUACGACGUUGAUAGGCUGGGUGUGUAAGCGUUGUGAGGCGUUGAGCUAACCAGUACUAAUUGCCCGUGAGGCUUGACCAUAUAACACCCAAACA
rnacentral:rRNA from 1 species